UAUCUAUGGUAUAAAUUUACAACUAUUUUUUACUCCUUCUCUUUCUAAUUCUAUCUCAGAAUUUUGAUUUUCAGAUUUUUUAAUGAUUAUUUCCGUAACAAAGAGCAGAGUCAGGCAGGAGAUGGACCAGAGGCGGCGGCCAGCAGUAAUGUUGACCAUGCAGGGUCUGCAGAGGUGAAAAAAAUAUCUAUCUAUGGAUUAAAGUGAUUUUGAGGUUAAAUUCUACUGCAAUUUUUACUCUUCCUAAUGCUAUUUCAGAAUUUUUCUUACCACAUUUUUUAUGUUUAUUGCCAUAACAGAAAGAGCAGAGUCAGGGAGGAGAUGGAUCAGAGGCCAGCAGCAGGGACAAGGAUGUCGGGUCUUUACAGAUGUUCAGAGGGAGGUGAUGCCACAUCUGGUCCAGCUGAUGGAAAGUCUUGAAGUUCUCUGACUGAAGAUGAUCCUCUGACUGGAUUUAAGGUUCAGAUGCUCAGGAACAAACUCCAGCAAUGAGCCAUCAGGGAAGCUUUAGGUUUAUUAAAUGUUGCUAUGAAGGUAUCGCUGUUUUUCUUUGUGAAUGCAAUGUGGUCCAACUGAAACUUGAACUAGAGCUUAGAAGUAAAUCCUUCCAUCUGACAGGAUUUAGUUGCAUUAAUAAUCUCAUAACGUUCUAAUUUUCAUCCCAGUCUUGGUUGGAAAUAGAAUCUCUGUAUUGAUUCGGGUAAAAACUGAACUUCACGGCAUGUUGGAGCAAAACAAGCAGAUGAAAAGUGUGAUGGCGUUGGGUUGUCAGACCGUAAUGUUGCAGCUCAAAGCAGCUUUUCUAUCUCAGUUCAUUCUGACAUUCAGCUCUGAAUCUACAGCAGAUCCAGUUGAUGGUGAUCCAUGCUGUGGAAGUCUCACAUCUCCUCAUUUAAUGACACUGUUUUUUCACCCACACUUUAUUUAAUAAAAGUCCCAUUUAGUUUUUAUGAGGAAUGUGACGUUUUAAUUUCUCUGUGAAUAACUGCAGUCUAGUGGAACAGCUGGAGUUGUAACAUCUGUCCUGAUAUUGAUCAUGAAGUACUGAUCAGAAUACUUUUGGUUAGCAGUCAUCCCUGAAGUUUUACAUGAAAAAAUCUUUACUUGUGUUGUGAACUUUGGUAAGAAGCAGAAACUUUAGCGUUGCCACGGAUCCAUGGGUGUUAAAUUCAGUCCAUGUUUCAUUUUGGGAUGCAGUCCAGCAGAUGACUUUGUUUUUACUGACAGCUACCAUUCAGUCGGAGAUAUUAAGAAUAAAUAAAUGUGCAUAAUGUGGAAAUGAA